rnacentral:rRNA from 1 species
ACGUAGGAGACGAGCGUUAUCCGGAUUUACUGGGCGUAAAGAGCGUGUAGGAGGCAAUACAAGUUGGAUGUAAAAGCUCUCGGCUAAACUGAGAGAGGACGUUCAAGACUGUAGAGCUAGAGGAAGGCAGAGGUAGAUGGAACUCCGGGAGUAGUGGUAAAAUGCGUAGAUACCAGGAAGAACACCAGAGGCGAAAGCGAUCCACUGGAACGAAACCGACACUGAGACGCGAAAGCCAGGGUAGCAAACGG